GACGUAGGGCGCGAGCGUUGUCCGGAAUCAUUGGGCGUAAAGCGCGUGUAGGCGGCCCGGUAAGUCCGCUGUGAAAGUCGGGGGGCUCAACCCUCGGAUGCCGGUGGAUACUGUCGGGCUUGAGUACGGAAGAGGCGAGUGGAAUUCCUGGUGUAGCGGUGAAAUGCGCAGAUAUCAGGAGGAACACCGAUUGCGAAGGCAGCUCGCUGGGACGUUACUGACGCUGAGACGCGAAAGCGUGGGGAGCAAACAGG
rnacentral:rRNA from 1 species